GUGCCAGCCGCCGCGGUAAUACCGGCGGCUCGAGUGGUGGCCACUAUUACUGGGCUUAAAGCGUCCGUAGCUUGAUUGUUAAGUCUCUUGGGAAAUCCACCGGCUCAACCGAUGGGCGUUCAGGAGAAACUGGCAAUCUAGGGACCGGGAGAGGUGAGAGGUACUCCAGGGGUAGGAGUGAAAUCCUGUAAUCCUUGGGGGACCACCUGUGGCGAAGGCGUCUCACUAGAACGGCUCCGACAGUGAGGGACGAAAGCUGGGGGAGCAAACCGGAUUAGAUACCCGGGUAGUCCCAGCUGUAAACGAUGCGCGUUAGGUGUAUCGGUGACCACGAGUCAUCGAGGUGCCGAAGGGAAACCGUGAAACGU
rnacentral:rRNA from 1 species